rnacentral:lncRNA from 1 species
AAUUCAGGAAACUGGUCUUGCAUAGUUGCUACAUCCUCCUAAAUAGCCCCCUCUCUACCUCUUUCUUUCCAUUCCACUAACACCUGUGAAACAGUGUCGUCCCCCUGCUACUUGUAUAUCCUCUCUAAAAUCUGCACUGGCCAAUAUGUGGGUCCUUCGGCCUGCAACUCAGCUGGCAAAUCCUUCUCAAUUCUCUUUGCCCCCACCGCCUUCUUU